UUGACCUCGGAUCAGGUACG
rnacentral:rRNA from 1 species